rnacentral:lncRNA from 1 species
GAUCGAUUUAAAUCGAUCACAAAGUUUUGCAAUUAGAAUUUUUGCAACCGAUUAAAAUUGGUUGCAAAGUCAAUCGUAAAAUAAAUUAGCAACCGAUUUUUAUUAUUUUGCAACUAGUUUUUCGAUCGCUAAAUCUCUGUUUUCUUAUAGUGUAGGGAACCAAAAGUUUCUAGAUCUAAUCACAUUUGGAAGUCGGGAUAGAUGGAUUUUCGAAAUAGAGGCUUGCCAUGACUUCUCUAAGGAAGACAUGAGGAGAUUGAGAGGCUUGCCAGUCAAGUUGAUCAAACCACUAUCCAUAAGUAAUAGAGAUGGUUUUAAUAAUGAUCAUCAUAUCAGGCG